UUUGCGAGUAAAUAUGCGAGUACUUACGCGCAUAAAAGUGACCAUGCAAAAAGGGUAUAUGUUAUUGCGUGCAGUUAUUUUACCCAAAAGUCUAUCAAAUUAAGUUAUGUUCCGGUUCUCUCUUUUGUUACGUCAUCGCCUUUUUUCUCUUGCAUUCUCUUUGUUCAUUACGUGGCAAUUUCAGUUUAGUUUAUACUUAAGUGAUUUGAAUGGACGUUGGUGCUAAACUUCUGUUGUGAACGGAAGUAGUUUAUAGCCACAAGUUUUCAGUUACCGCAAUCCACAAAUAAUACAAUUAAAAGAUUUGCGCGUUUGACUGAUUGGCUAUAUCACCAACGAAGAGAAAA